UACGGAGGGUGCAAGCGUUAUCCGGAUUCACUGGGUUUAAAGGGAGCGCAGGCGGAUUUGUAAGUCAGUGGUGAAAGGCUUAAGCUUAACUUGGGAACUGCCAUUGAUACUAUAAGUCUUGAAUGUUGUUGAGGUUUGCUGGAAGUGGGUCGAUGUAGCGGUGAAAUGCAUAGAUAUGACCCGGAACACCUAUUGCGAAGGCAGCAGGCUAAACAAAUAUUGACGCUGAGGCUCGAAAGCGUGGGGAUCAAACAGG
rnacentral:rRNA from 1 species